GAUGAACGCUAGCGGCAGGCCUAACACAUGCAAGUCGAGGGAGAGGUUACCUUCGGGUAGCCAAAACCGGCGCACGGGUGCGUAACGCGUAUACAAUCUGCCUUUCACAUAGGGAUAGCCCGAAGAAAUUUGGAUUAAUACCUAAUGGUAUAUAAGAGCGGCAUCGUUUUUAUAUUAAAGCUACGGUGGUGAAAGAUGAGUAUGCGUUCUAUUAGCUAGUUGGAGAGGUAACGGCUCCCCAAGGCGACGAUAGAUAGGGGUUCUGAGAGGGAUGUCCCCCACACUGGUACUGAGAUACGGACCAGACUCCUACGGGAGGCAGCAGUGAGGAAUAUUGGACAAUGGUCGGAAGACUGAUCCAGCCAUGCCGCGUGCAGGAUGAAGGUCCUAUGGAUUGUAAACUGCUUUUGUAAGGGAAGAAUAAGGAGUACGUGUACUUUGAUGACGGUACCUUACGAAUAAGCAUCGGCUAACUCCGUGCCAGCAGCCGCGGUAAUACGGAGGAUGCGAGCGUUAUCCGGAAUCAUUGGGUUUAAAGGGUCCGUAGGCGGGCUGAUAAGUCAGAGGUGAAAGCGCUUAGCUCAACUAAGCAACUGCCUUUGAAACUGUCAGUCUUGAAUGAUUGUGAAGUAGUUGGAAUGUGUAGUGUAGCGGUGAAAUGCUUAGAUAUUACACAGAACACCGAUAGCGAAGGCAUAUUACUAACAAUUUAUUGACGCUGAUGGACGAAAGCGUGGGGAGCGAACAGG
rnacentral:rRNA from 1 species